rnacentral:rRNA from 1 species
GAUGAACGCUGGCGGCGUGCUUAACACAUGCCAGUCGAACGGAAAGGCUCCUGCUUGCAGGGGUACUCGAGUGGCGAACGGGUGAGUAACACGUGGGUGAUCUGCCCUGCACUUCGGGAUAAGCCUGGGAAACUGGGUCUAAUACCGGAUAGGACGAUGGUUUGGAUGCCAUUGUGGAAAGUUUUUCGGUGUGGGAUGAGCUCGCGGCCUAUCAGCUUGUUGGUGGGGUAAUGGCCUACCAAGGCGUCGACGGGUAGCCGGCCUGAGAGGGUGUACGGCCACAUUGGGACUGAGAUACGGCCCAGACUCCUACGGGAGGCAGCAGUGGGGAAUAUUGCACAAUGGGCGCAAGCCUGAUGCAGCAACGCCGCGUGGGGGAUGACGGCCUUCGGGUUGUAAACUCCUUUCGCUAGGGACGAAGCGCAAGUGACGGUACCUGGAGAAGAAGCACCGGCUAACUACGUG